CCUACGGGAGGCAGCAGUGGGGAAUAUUGGGCAAUGGGCGCAAGCCUGACCCAGCAACGCCGCGUGAAGGAAGAAGGCUUUCGGGUUGUAAACUUCUUUUCUCAGGGACGAAGAAAGUGACGGUACCUGAGGAAUAAGCCACGGCUAACUACGUGCCAGCAGCCGCGGUAAUACGUGGGUGGCAAGCGUUAUGCGGAUUUAUUGGGUGUAAAGGGCGUGUAGGCGGGAGCGCAAGUCAGAUGUGAAACCUCCGGGCCCAACCCUGAGCCUGCAUUUGAAACUGUGUUUCUUGAGGGCUGGAGAGGCAAUCGGAAUUACGGGUGUAGCGGUGAAAUGCGUAGAUAUACGGAGGAACACCAGUGGCGAAGGCGGAUUGCUGGACAGUAACUGACGCUGAGGCGCGAAAGCGUGGGGAGCAAACAGGAUUAGAUACCCCAGUAGUC
rnacentral:rRNA from 1 species